GGACCAUAGCUUUGUGAUAGAGCAUCUGCUUUGUAUGCAGGAGAUCCAGGUUCAAUUCCAGGCAUCUCCA